rnacentral:lncRNA from 1 species
GUCCAUCCAAACUGCUACAAGCAUUUUUGUCCACCAUCUUCCUUGGAGAACUGUACUUCAAUCAAAAUGGAUUCCUCUAUAAAAAAUAAUCUCUCCCACUCAUCCAUAGAAAUUCUGACGAGCACCUUUUCCAGCAUCUAAAAGGUAGAGAUAAAAUUAUACUAGCAGAUCAGAGCUACCAAAUCCAUGAUUCCACAUGCCUCGACAUCCGAUCAACCACCUUUAAAAUUUUCACAAGACCACAACAUAACGAAUAGGUUCACAAAAACCACAUCAUAACAAACAGGCAGCUUGUCCAUUACACACCCCAAAAUCAACCACCUAUCUCAACCCACUUCCCAUUUAUAAACAUAUACAGACAUUGUACCAUCUAUACCGAACACUUUGAGGACAAAAGCUUCUUCCAUCAACAACACCACAUCAUAACAAACAGGCAGCUUGUCCAUUACACACCCCAAAAUCAAGCACCUAUCUCAACCCACUUCCCAUUUAUAAACAUAUACAGACAUUGUACCAUCUAUACCGAACACUUUGAGGACAAAAGCUUCUUCCAUCAAAAUUAGAGAAGCAAUGAAAUCUAAUACUCAGCCCA